UAUUCUUUCUCCAUCUUAACAUAUAUUCUCCAACUCUCUUUUUCAUGCAGUAAAAUAUAUACAGUUCAAUAUGCUAGACCCAUAUUUAUAUAUCUAUCUCUCAUUUCUUUUCCUGUAAAAUUUUCUCUGCAUUUUGGGUUUUAAGAAUUGCAAAGAUGAAUGGUCCCAAGUAUGAGUAUGCUUAUCCAUAUCCUCCUCCUCAAGGAACUUAUCCAGCAGGACCUCCUCCUGUAAUGGCACCUCCUCAAUAUGCCGCUGCUCCACCACAGAGAGAACCAGGGUUCCUUGAGGGAUGCCUUGCAGCUCUGUGUUGCUGCUGUCUCUUGGAUGAGUGUUGCUGUGACCCUUCUGUCGUAUUUGUUACCUAACCAAGAAAAAAUCUACAAUACAAUGAGAAUAUAUCUUCCCUUUUCUAGUACACAUGUACAUCCCGAAUAAUGAAUUCUACAUGUACGUUAGAGGAGGGAGUACAAACUCCUAGUAUAGAAUUCCACUCACUAAUUAAUGUAGUAAUUUAUAUUGUCGGGGCAUUAUGUUGUAUAUUUCGUAUAAACAACAAUUUGCAAAUUACAAUUUAUAUUUUGUGUAAACAACAAUUUGCAAAUUACAAUUUACUAUAGUAUCUUGUUGGGUUU